CGAAUUAAAAACAGUGCAGAAGGAUGUUUUGAGUAUGUUUUAGCUUCUAGCCGCGCAAUCAAUGCUUUUUUUCCAAGCAAGAUGUACUUCUGUUUGGAUCCUAUCGGCGGGGAAAAAAGUACUUACGGCGACGGUGACAAGAAAUAGCGCUGAUUGCGAGAUUACCAGAUCCAGAAGAUCCGGAAGGGCUGUUACAAGUAAUUGGUUUUGCUAGAGCAAAAGGAGGUUGACAAUGAUUGCAACAGGUGAAAUAAACUGUUGGAAUCACGACUAUCGAUCACGCCAGAAGAUCCGGAAAGAGUUGUUGAAAGUAAUUGGCCACAGAAAAGUAUCCAUUUAUGAAGUCUAUCUCCAUCUCGGGGGAAAGUGUGGUAAACAAUGUCCGGGUUGUUUUUCGUUAUGCGGACCUUGUUUCCGCAUCCUUUUACUGCACAAUAAUACGGCAUCUGAAGAAAAUAAGAUAUUCACAAUAUAAUUUUGGCAUGAUAGAGAACCGCGAGAUGAACGAUUAUCUGUGGAGGAGUUGGACAACAGAUUUCUUAGACUUAUAGCACUUUAAUCACACUCACAAGCUCUUCAAAUCCUCACUGUCCCCCAAAACUAUUGAAUAAUAUUUGUUUUCCUCAGCGAGUUGAUAUGAAACCAUAACGACACAACCAAACAAAAAGUAAACAAUGCAGAAAGCUACGUCUCGCAACUCGUCUCACGUAUUGUCAUGAAAGUGUCAAGAACGAAACACCU